rnacentral:lncRNA from 1 species
AAACCUUAACACCGACUUUCUAGAAGUGGCAUUAAAAUAGUGCGCUACCACUUCUUUUGUAGACCCUUACUCACACUAUUUCGAGAAGACCUUCGCACUGACACCAAUGCGAGAGGUCAACUCUCUACGAGGGAACCCAAAUCUUUUAUUCACCUACUCACAACUUGAUAUAACACUCACUCUUAAACUCUUUAUGUGGGUACUCUACCAUGACACUACUAUACUACAUGACUAACUUGCAAU